rnacentral:rRNA from 1 species
AACGAACGCUGGCGGCAGGCCUAACACAUGCAAGUCGAGCGAGGACUUCGGUCCUAGCGGCGGACGGGUGAGUAACGCGUGGGAACGUGCCCUUUGCUUCGGAAUAGCCCUGGGAAACUGGGAGUAAUACCGGAUGAGCCCUUUGGGGGAAAGAUUUAUCGGCGAAGGAUCGGCCCGCGUUGGAUUAGGUAGUUGGUGGGGUAAUGGCCUACCAAGCCGACGAUCUAUAGCUGGUUUGAGAGGAUGAUCAGCCACACUGGGACUGAGACACGGCCCAGACUCCUACGGGAGGCAGCAGUGGGGAAUCUUAGACAAUGGGGGAAACCCUGAUCUAGCCAUGCCGCGUGAGCGAUGAAGGCCUUAGGGUUGUAAAGCUCUUUCAGCUGGGAAGAUAAUGACGGUACCAGCAGAAGAAGCCCCGGCUAACUCCGUG